GAUGAACGCUAGCGGCAGGCCUAACACAUGCAAUUCGAGGGGUAGAGGAAGCUUGCUUCCUUGAGACCGGCGCACGGGUGCGUAACGCGUAUGCAAUCUACCUUGUACAGAGGGAUAGCCCAGAGAAAUUUGGAUUAAUACCUCAUAGUAUUAUUGAAUGGCAUCAUUUAAUAAUUAAAGUUCCAACGGUACAAGAUGAGCAUGCGUCCUAUUAGCUAGUUGGUGUGGUAACGGCAUACCAAGGCUACGAUAGGUAGGGGUCCUGAGAGGGAGAUCCCCCACACUGGUACUGAGACACGGACCAGACUCCUACGGGAGGCAGCAGUGAGGAAUAUUGGACAAUGGGCGCAAGCCUGAUCCAGCCAUGCCGCGUGCAGGAAGACGCAUCUAUGGUGUGUAAACUGCUUUUGUGCGGGAAGAAACACUCCCUCGUGAGGGAGCUUGACGGUACCGUAAGAAUAAGGAUCGGCUAACUCCGUGCCAGCAGCCGCGGUAAUACGGAGGAUCCAAGCGUUAUCCGGAAUCAUUGGGUUUAAAGGGUCCGUAGGCGGUUUAAUAAGUCAGUGGUGAAAGCCCAUCGCUCAACGAUGGAACGGCCAUUGAUACUGUUAGACUUGAAUUACAAGGAAGUAACUAGAAUAUGUAGUGUAGCGGUGAAAUGCUUAGAUAUUACAUGGAAUACCAAUUGCGAAGGCAGGUUACUACUUGUGGAUUGACGCUGAUGGACGAAAGCGUGGGGAGCGAACAGG
rnacentral:rRNA from 1 species